rnacentral:rRNA from 1 species
CAGUAGCCGCGGUAAUACGUAGGGUGCAAGCGUUAAUCGGAAUUACUGGGCGUAAAGCGUGCGCAGGCGGUUUGUUAAGGCAGAUGUGAAAUCCCCGGGCUCAACCUGGGAACUGCAUUUGUGACUGGCAAGCUAGAGUAUGGCAGAGGGGGGUGGAAUUCCGCGUGUAGCGGUGAAAUGCGUAGAUAUGCGGAGGAACACCGAUGGCGAAGGCAGCCCCCUGGGCCAAUACCGACGCUCAUGCACGAAAGCGUGGGGAGCAAACAGGAUUAGAUACCCCGGUAGUCCCUGUCUCUUAUAC